rnacentral:rRNA from 1 species
UUAAGCGACUAAGCGUACACGGUGGAUGCCCUGGCAGUCAGAGGCGAUGAAGGACGUGCUAAUCUGCGAAAAGCGUCGGUAAGGUGAUAUGAACCGUUACAGCCGGCGAUGUCCGAAUGGGGAAACCCAGUGCAAUUCGUUGCACUAUCGUUAACUGAAUACAUAGGUUAACGAGGCGAACCGGGGGAACUGAAACAUCUAAGUACCCCGAGGAAAAGAAAUCAACCGAGAUUCCCCCAGUAGCGGCGAGCGAACGGGGAGCAGCCCAGAGUCUGAAUCAGCUUGUGUGUUAGUGGAACGGUCUGGAAAGUCCGACGGUACAGGGUGAUAGUCCCGUACACCAAAAUGCACAGGCUGUGAACUCGAAGAGUAGGGCGGGACACGUGGUAUCCUGUCUGAAUAUGGGGGGACCAUCCUCCAAGGCUAAAUACUCCUGACUGACCGAUAGUGAACCAGUACCGUGAGGGAAAGGCGAAAAGAACCCCGGCGAGGGGAGUGAAAAAGAACCUGAAACCGUGUACGUACAAGCAGUGGGAGCACCUUCGGGUGUGACUGCGUACCUUUUGUAUAAUGGGUCAGCGACUUAUAUUCUGUAGCAAGGUUAACCGUAUAGGGGAGCCGCAGGGAAACCGAGUCUUAACUGGGCGUUAAGUUGCAGGGUAUAGACCCGAAACCCGGUGAUCUAGCCAUGGGCAGGUUGAAGGUUGGGUAACACUAACUGGAGGACCGAACCGACUAAUGUUGAAAAAUUAGCGGAUGACUUGUGGCUGGGGGUGAAAGGCCAAUCAAACCGGGAGAUAGCUGGUUCUCCCCGAAAGCUAUUUAGGUAGCGCCUCGUGAAUUCAUCUUCGGGGGUAGAGCACUGUUUCGGCUAGGGGGUCAUCCCGACUUACCAACCCGAUGCAAACUACGAAUACCGAAGAAUGUUAUCACGGGAGACACACGGCGGGUGCUAACGUCCGUCGUGAAGAGGGAAACAACCCAGACCGCCAGCUAAGGUCCCAAAGUCAUGGUUAAGUGGGAAACGAUGUGGGAAGGCACAGACAGCCAGGAUGUUGGCUUAGAAGCAGCCAUCAUUUAAAGAAAGCGUAAUAGCUCACUGGUCGAGUCGGCCUGCGCGGAAGAUGUAACGGGGCUAAACCAUGCACCGAAGCUGCGGCAGCGACACUAUGUGUUGUUGGGUAGGGGAGCGUUCUGUAAGCCUGCGAAGGUGUGCUGUGAGGCAUGCUGGAGGUAUCAGAAGUGCGAAUGCUGACAUAAGUAACGAUAAAGCGGGUGAAAAGCCCGCUCGCCGGAAGACCAAGGGUUCCUGUCCAACGUUAAUCGGGGCAGGGUGAGUCGACCCCUAAGGCGAGGCCGAAAGGCGUAGUCGAUGGGAAACAGGUUAAUAUUCCUGUACUUGGUGUUACUGCGAAGGGGGGACGGAGAAGGCUAUGUUAGCCGGGCGACGGUUGUCCCGGUUUAAGCAUGUAGGCUGGUUAUCCAGGCAAAUCCGGAUAAUCAAGGCUGAGGUGUGAUGACGAGGCACUACGGUGCUGAAGUAACAAAUGCCCUGCUUCCAGGAAAAGCCUCUAAGCAUCAGGUAACAUUAAAUCGUACCCCAAACCGACACAGGUGGUCAGGUAGAGAAUACCAAGGCGCUUGAGAGAACUCGGGUGAAGGAACUAGGCAAAAUGGUGCCGUAACUUCGGGAGAAGGCACGCUGGUGUGUAGGUGAAGCCCCUGCGGGUGGAGCUGAGACCAGUCGAAGAUACCAGCUGGCUGCAACUGUUUAUUAAAAACACAGCACUGUGCAAACACGAAAGUGGACGUAUACGGUGUGACGCCUGCCCGGUGCCGGAAGGUUAAUUGAUGGGGUUAUCCGUAAGGAGAAGCUCUUGAUCGAAGCCCCGGUAAACGGCGGCCGUAACUAUAACGGUCCUAAGGUAGCGAAAUUCCUUGUCGGGUAAGUUCCGACCUGCACGAAUGGCGUAAUGAUGGCCAGGCUGUCUCCACCCGAGACUCAGUGAAAUUGAACUCGCUGUGAAGAUGCAGUGUACCCGCGGCAAGACGGAAAGACCCCGUGAACCUUUACUAUAGCUUGACACUGAACAUUGAGCCUUGAUGUGUAGGAUAGGUGGGAGGCUUUGAAGCGUGGACGCCAGUCUGCGUGGAGCCAACCUUGAAAUACCACCCUUUAAUGUUUGAUGUUCUAACGUUGGCCCCUGACCGGGGUUGCGGACAGUGUCUGGUGGGUAGUUUGACUGGGGCGGUCUCCUCCCAAAGCGUAACGGAGGAGCACGAAGGUUAGCUAAUCCUGGUCGGACAUCAGGAGGUUAGUGCAAUGGCAUAAGCUAGCUUGACUGCGAGCGUGACGGCGCGAGCAGGUGCGAAAGCAGGUCAUAGUGAUCCGGUGGUUCUGAAUGGAAGGGCCAUCGCUCAACGGAUAAAAGGUACUCCGGGGAUAACAGGCUGAUACCGCCCAAGAGUUCAUAUCGACGGCGGUGUUUGGCACCUCGAUGUCGGCUCAUCACAUCCUGGGGCUGAAGUAGGUCCCAAGGGUAUGGCUGUUCGCCAUUUAAAGUGGUACGCGAGCUGGGUUUAGAACGUCGUGAGACAGUUCGGUCCCUAUCUGCCGUGGGCGCUGGAGAAUUGAGGGGGGCUGCUCCUAGUACGAGAGGACCGGAGUGGACGCAUCACUGGUGUUCGGGUUGUCAUGCCAAUGGCACUGCCCGGUAGCUAAAUGCGGAAGAGAUAAGUGCUGAAAGCAUCUAAGCACGAAACUUGCCCCGAGAUGAGUUCUCCCUGAGACUUUAAGUCUCCUGAAGGAACGUUGAAGACGACGACGUUGAUAGGCCGGGUGUGUAAGCGCAGCGAUGCGUUGAGCUAACCGGUACUAAUGAACCGUGAGGCUUAACCU